AGCUCGUAGUUGGAUUUCUGUUGUAUUUUUAUAAUGUUACUAAGGUAACAUUAUAAUAACAACAUCCUUCCCAAUAUAUUUUUUAGUAUAUGGGAAAUUUUACUUUGAGAAAAUUAGAGUGCUUAAAGCAGCAACUGCCUUGAAUACUCCAGCAUGGAAUAAUAAGUAAGGACUUUUGUCUUUCUUGUUGGUUCUAGGAUAAAAGUAAUGGUUAAUAGGGACAGUUGGGGGCAUUCGUAUUUAACAGCCAGAGGUGAAAUUCUUAGAUUUGUUAAAGACGAACUACUGCGAAAGCAUUUGCCAAGGAUGUUUUCAUUAAUCAAGAACGAAAGUUAGGGGAUCGAAGACGAUCAGAUACCGUCGUAGUCUUAACCAUAAACUAUGCCGACUAGAGGUUGGAGGUUGUUCCUUA
rnacentral:rRNA from 1 species